UACGUAGGGGGCGAGCGUUGUCCGGAUUCAUUGGGCGUAAAGAGCUCGUAGGCGGCUUGGCAAGUCGGGUGUGAAAACUUCAGGCUCAACCUGGAGCGGCCACUCGAUACUGCCAUGGCUUGAGUCCGGUAGGGGACCACGGAAUUCCUGGUGUAGCGGUGAAAUGCGCAGAUAUCAGGGGGAACACCGGUGGCGAAGGCGGUUCUCUGGGCCUUACCUGACACUGAGGAGCGAAAGCGUGGGGAGCGAACAGG
rnacentral:rRNA from 1 species